GACGAAACGUGCGAACGUUAUUCGGAAUCACUGGGCUUAAAGCGCGUGUAGGCGGGGCGGCACGUCGGUCGCUGAAAUCCCCCGGCUCAACCGGGGAAGGGGCGCCGAUACGACCGGCCUGGAGGGACGUAGGGGGGGCUGGAACUUCCGGUGGAGCGGUGAAGUGCGUUGAGAUCGGAAGGAACGCCCGUGGCGAAAGCGAGCCCCUGGACGUCUACUGACGCUGAGACGCGAAAGCCAGGGGAGCGAACGGG
rnacentral:rRNA from 1 species